rnacentral:rRNA from 1 species
GACGAACGCUGGCGGCGUGCUUAACACAUGCAAGUCGAACGAUGAAGCCUUCGGGUGGAUUAGUGGCGAACGGGUGAGUAACACGUGGGUGAUCUGCCCUGCACUUUGGGAUAAGCCUGGGAAACUGGGUCUAAUACCGAAUAUGAUCAUGCUCUUCAUGGGGUGUGGUGGAAAGCUUUUGCGGUGUGGGAUGGGCCCGCGGCCUAUCAGCUUGUUGGUGGGGUAAUGGCCUACCAAGGCGACGACGGGUAGCCGGCCUGAGAGGGUGACCGGCCACACUGGGACUGAGAUACGGCCCAGACUCCUACGGGAGGCAGCAGUGGGGAAUAUUGCACAAUGGGCGCAAGCCUGAUGCAGCGACGCCGCGUGAGGGAUGACGGCCUUCGGGUUGUAAACCUCUUUCAGCAGGGACGAAGCGAAAGUGACGGUACCUGCAGAAGAAGGACCGGCCAACUACGUGCCAGCAGCCGCAGUAAAAC